AAAUAUUCACUCCAGAAUAUAUGAGCUUCCAUGAAAACAAUAAGGGUCAACUUGAUAUUUGGGAGCAACAAUCCCUCUUCUUGGUCCAAAAGAUUAACCCCAAUUUGGAGGAAUUAACAUUAAGCAGAGUGGACGACCUGGUAACAUUGCAACAUCAAUUUC